GGUCCCGUGGUGUAGCGGUUAUCACGUCGCCCUGUCACGGCGAAGAUCGCGGGUUCGAUUCCCGUCGGGACCG
rfam:Streptococcus mutans TA159, complete genome.